rnacentral:rRNA from 1 species
GACGUAGGGUGCAAGCGUUGUCCGGAUUUACUGGGCGUAAAGAGCGCGUAGGCGGUCUGUUAAGUGAGAAGUGAAAGCUCUGGGCUCAACUCAGAAAUUGCUUUUCAUACUGGCAGACUGGAGUGAUGCAGAGGUUUGUGGAAUUCCUGGUGUAGCGGUGAAAUGCGUUGAUAUCAGGAGGAACACCCAUGGCGAAGGCAGCAAACUGGGCAUUAACUGACGCUGAGGCGCGAAAGCGUGGGUAGCAAACAGG